AGCAGUUGGUGGAUGGUCAACCCCCACAGGUCUCAAGGUUAAGACAGAGGUGUGCGCGGUAUAAAUAGUACAGGUACUCAUUGUCAUCACCUGUAUCUCAAAAUAACAAUUAUUGGUGCCCUGUUGACGAACAUCUGACAUCUGUGCCAACACAUAUUGCAUAGAGAUGUUGUGAAUUUUGUAGCAUCAAAGAAGGUGGACUCUGAAACUGUUUUUGGAAGGUCUGUUGAGGGAUACUGAAUGCAAAACGGAUUUUCAAGUCCUAUCCUUCCAUUUUAAACUCCAGUCACUGCUCAUUAAUUUUUUGAGGAGAGACUGUGAAGAACUGUGCAACAGUUGAAGUCUGUAACUGAUUUGUACAAGUGAGAGUGUUAUUAUGUACAUUGUAUCAUUGUCAUUAAAUUUUGUCUUGUUGAUAAGUGUGGAAAGUAGUCACAAAAUUAAAGAUGCUAUAUGAAGUUAAUAAGACAUAGAGGAGAUAGCUGGUAACAACAGAUAUAAUUCACAUUUUUUUUUUAUAGUUGUUGUGAAGUUAUAUGUACAGUAUUAAUGAUGAAUUAUAAAUCUCAAAGAAAGUGUUUACAACCACUACAAAAUGAACCAGAAUCUUUUCAAUGUGAUUAUUGUGAGCGAUCAUUCAGUAUGAAACGUAAUCUUCAGUCCCACAUUUUUACUCACACUGGUGAAAAACCAUUCUCAUGUCCACAGUGUGAUAAAAAGUACACAACAGAUCGAGCCAUGAAACAACACUUGAAAUCACACGUGAAAAUAUAUUUU